GAAUGUUGUCUGGCUCGAGGCC
rnacentral:miRNA from 1 species